CAACCAUGGUCAACCCCAUCGUGUUCUUCGAUAUCACUGCCGACGGCGAGCCCUUGGGCCGCGUCUCAUUCGAGCUGUUUGCAGACAAAGUUCCAAAGACGGCAGAAAACUUUCGUGCUCUGAGCACUGGAGAGAAAGGAUUUGGUUAUAAGGGUUCCUGCUUUCACAGAAUUAUUCCAGGAUUUAUGUGCCAGGGUGGUGACUUCACGCGCCACAAUGGCACUGGCGGCAAGUCCAUCUACGGGGAGAAAUUUGAUGAUGAGAACUUCAUCCUGAAGCACACAGGCCCGGGCAUCUUGUCCAUGGCAAAUGCUGGGCCAAACACAAACGGGUCCCAGUUUUUCAUCUGCACUGCCAAGACUGAGUGGCUGGAUGGCAAGCACGUGGUCUUCGGGAAAGUGAAAGAGGGCAUGAACACGGUGGAGGCCAUGGAGCGCUUCGGGUCCAGGAACGGCAAGACCAGCAAGAUGAUCACCAUCACCGACUGUGGACAACCCUAACGCGUGUGACUUGUGUGUGUUGCCACCGCCAGACCAGACCAUUCCUCUAGCUCAGGAGAGCACCCUUUGCCCUCCCUGCUCAAGACGCCCCA